rnacentral:lncRNA from 1 species
GGCCACACUCAUCGUAGCAGAGAGGCAGGAACAGCUGGGCGAGGGUCCUUCUGUGACAUCUACUGCAUCACUGGGCUCUGUGAAGUGACUCAGCUGCCAGAACUCACACAAUAUUCUGCACCAAAACCUCACGGGAAAAAUGCAUCACGAACCUCAGACUUAAACAGCACAACAGGCUCCUCCCAGGUCUCCAGCUACACAACCCUCAGACUUAAACAACAGCAGCGGCACCAGCUCCUCCCUGGGUCUCCAGCUCCACAAACCUCAAAUUAGAACAGCAGCACUGGCUACACCCAGUCUCCAGCUCUACACCUCUAACUUGAACUACAGCCACCAGCUCCUUCCUGGGUCUCCGGCUCCACAGACCUUAAACGAAAACAGCAGCACUGGCUCCUCCCCAGGUCCCCAGCUACAGACCCUCAAACAAGAAGAACAGCAGCACCAGCUCCACCUAAAGUCUCCAGCUCCACACCUCAAACUAGAACUUCAGCACCCGCUCCUCCCCGAGUCUCAAUAUCUGUGACCCUCAAAAUAAAACAGCAGGACCAGCUCCUCCUCUGGUCUUCAGCUUCACGACCUUAACUGUAACAGCACCACCCGCUCCUCCGGGGUCAACAGCUCCGACGCUAAAACUAGAACAGCAGACCAGCUUCUACCUAAAACACCAGCUCCGAGACUCUCAAACAAGAACAGCAGCACUGACUUCUCUCACCAGGUCUCCAGCUCCACGAUCCUGAAACUUGAACGGCAGCACCCGCUCCUCCCCGGGUCUCCAGCUCCACGAACCUCAAACUUGAACAGCAGCACCCGCUCCUCCCAGCGUCUCCAGCUCCAUGAACCUCAAACUUGAACAGCAGUACCCGCUCCUCCCCGGGUCUCCAGCUCCACGAACCUCAAACUUGAACAGCAGCACUCGCUCCUCCCAAGGUCUCCAGCUCUGCGAACCUCAAACUUGAACUGCAGCACCUGCUCCUCCCCGGGUCUCCAGCUCCACGAACCUUAAACUAAAACAGCAGUACUCACUCCUCCCCAGAUCCCCAGCUGCAGACCCUCAAGCUGCAACAGCAGCACCAUCUCCUCUCCAGGUCUCCAGCUCCAUGGACCUUAAACUAGAACAGCAGCACCAGCUCCUCCUUGGGACAACAGCUCCAAGACCCUCAAACUACAACAGCAGCCCUGACUCCUGCCCAGGUUUACAGCUCCACAAACGUCAAACUUGAACUUCAGCACUAGCUGAAGUCUCCAGCUCCCUGACCCUCAAACUAGAACAGCAGCACCAUCUCCUCUCUGGGUCUCCAGCUCCACGAACCUCAAACUUGAACUGCAGCACCUGCUCCUCCCUGGAUCUCCAGCUCCACGGACCUUAAACUAAAACAGCAGUACUCGCUCCUCCCCAGGUCCCCAGCUGCAGACCCUCAAACUGCAACAGCAGCACCAUCUCCUCUCUGGGUCUCCAGCUCCAUGGACCUUAAACUAGAACAGCAGCACCAGCUCCUCUCCUGGUCUCCAGCUCCAGGACCCUAAAACUAGAACAGCAGCACCAGCUCCUCCUUGGGACAACAGCUUUAAGACCCUCAAACUACAACAGCAGCCCUGACUCCUGCCCAGGUUUACAAACCUCAAACUUGAACUUCAGCACUGGCUGAAGUCUCCAGCCCCAUGACCCUCAAACUAGAACAGCAGCACCAUCUCCUCUCUGGGUCUCCAGCUCCAUGGACCUUAAACUAAAACAGCAGCACCAGCUCCUCCCGAGGUCCCCAUCUACAGACCCUCAAACUACAGCAGCACCAGCUCCACCCAAAGUCUCCAGCUCCCCACCUCAAACUAGAACUCCAGCACCCGCUCCUCCCCGAGUCUCAAUAUCCGCCACUCUCAAACAGCAGCACCGGCUCCUCCCCUGGUCUUCAGCUUCACGACCCUAACUAUAACAGCACCACCCGCUCUUCCGGGGUCAACAGCUCCAAGACUCUAAAACUAGAACAGCAGACCAGCUUCUACCCAGGUCACCAGCUCCGAGACUCUCAAACUAGAACAGCAGCCUUAACUUCUCGCCAAAUCUCCAACUCCACGACCCUUAAACUUGAACUGCAGCACUUGCUCCUCCCCAGGUCCCCAGCUACAGACCCUCAAACUAAACAGGAGCACUGACUUCUGCCCACAUAUCCAGCUCCACGAACCUCAAAGUUAAACUUCAGUACCAACUCCUUCCCGCGUCUCCAGCUCCACGACCCUCAAACUACAAUAGCAACACUGGCUCCCCAAUCCCAGGUCUCCAUCUCCACGACCAUCAAACUUGAGUUGCAACACUGGCUCCACCCAAAUUCUCCAGCUCCAGGAUGCUAACUGUAAUAGCAGCACCAGCUCCUCUGCAGGUCACCAGCUCCAAGACUCUCAAACUAGUACAGCAGCACUGACGCCUGCCCAGGUUUCCAGCUCCAUGAACCUCAAACUUGAACUGCAGCACCACCUCCUCCCUGGUUCUCCAGCUUCACGACCCUCAAACUAGAACAGCAGCACCAGCUCCAACCAAAGUCUCCAUCUCCACGCCUCCAACUUGAACUCCAGCACCAGCUCCUUCCUGGGUCUCAUGAUCCAUGACCCUGAAAAUAAAACAGCAGCACCAGCUCCUCUCUAGGUCUCCAGCUCCACGAACCUCAAAUUUAAAAAGCAGCCCUGGCUCUAACCCAGGUCUCCAGCUCCACCAUCGUCAAACUUGAACGGCAGCACUAGCUCCUCCCAAAGUCUCCAGCCCCACGACCCUAAAACAUGAAGAGCAGCAUUGGCUCCUCCCCAGGUCUCCAGCUCCACCAUCAUCAAACUUGAAUGGCAGCACUAGCUCGCCACAAAGUCUCCAGCUCCCAUGACCCUCAAAUGUGAACAGCAGCACUGGCUCCUCCCCAGGUGUUCAGUUUCACGACCCUAACUAUUACAGCAACACCUGCUCCUCCCCAGGUCACCAACUCCAAGACCCUAAAACUAGAACAGCAGACCGGCUCCUACCCAGGUCACCAGCUCCAAGACUCUCAAACUAGAACAGCAGCACUGACUUCUUGCCAGGUCUCCAGCUCCAUGACCCUCAAGCUUGAACCGCAGCAACAGCUCCACCCAGGUCUCCAGCUCCACAAACCUUAAACAACAGCACCGGCUCCUCCAGAGGUCCCCAGCUACAGACCCUCAAACUAGAACAGGAGCACUGACUCCUGCCCAGAUAUCCAGCUCCACGAACCUCAAACUUGAACUGCAGUACCAGCUCCUUCCCGGGUCUUUAGCUCCGUGACCCUGAAAAUAAAACAGCAGCACUGGCUUUUCCCCAGAUCCCCAGCUCCACGACCCUCAAAUUUAAAAAGCAGCACCAGCUCCUCCCUGGGUCAGCACCUCCAUGACCCUCAAACCUGAACUGCAGCACUGGCUCCUCCCCGGGUCACCAGAUCCCAGACCCUCAAACUAGAACAGCAGCACUGACUCCUCCCCAUAUCUCCAGCUCCAUGACCAUCAAACUUGAAGACUAGCACCAUUUCCUUUCUGGGUCUCCAGCUCCACGACCCUCAGACUUGAACAGCAGUGCCAACUCCUUUCUGGGUCUCCAGCUCCACUAUCUUCAGACUUGAACAGCAGCACCAGCUUCUCCCCAGGUCUCCAGCUCCAUGACCCUCAAACAGGAACAGCAGCACCGGCUCCUCCCUGGGUCUCCAGCUCCUCAAGUCUG